GUGCUAUCGCAGCACAUAUACUAAAAUUGGAACGAUACAGAGAAGAUUAACAUGGCCCCUGCGCAAGGAAUGAAAUGUAACAAAUGAAAUAAAUAACAACCAACC